GGAUAGGGCCCAGGGAGGGAAAAGGAGGGCCAGGUCACUAGCCAGAGGCCUGGUGAGGGGAACAUGUUCUAAGAGGGUACAGUGAAGGUGGGGGGCCUCUUCAGUGCAAAUGCUUAGACCUGGUUCCACAGACCCAGAUGGCAGAAGGAACGUCAGGGAGACAUUGUUCCAGCCAGAAAGGACACAGCUGGGCCUCAGGCAUGGGCAAGAACCUUCUCUUGCUCCUCAGUUCACAGCUUUGUGCAUGGUGGCUGUGGUUUUACGUGGUCCCGUUCUGUGCUGGCUGCUGGCAUGCUGGGUGUGCUGCUGUGUGCUAGUCCUGGGCUCCUCUGAAGACAGACACAGGACCCACCCAUGGCAGGCAAGGAUACUCGCCCUCAUGGUGUUGUCUUCUGCUGUGGAGUCCACGGUCUGGCGAUAUGUGCCUGAAAUUCCAGCACUGAAAUGAAGACUGAUGCCGAGUUCAAGAUCAGCCGUGGCAACAGAGUGAGAGCCUCUCAAAUGAGCCAAACAAAAUGGCCGAGGAGACGGCUCAAUCAUCAGAGUGCUUGCCAUGCAGGCUUGAGGACCUGAGUUGGAUCCCAGCACCCUUAUUAAAACAAAACAAAGCUG